CUUUUCAAUAUUUUCUUUUCAUUUGGUCAGAUCCAGAAGCCUGAGAGUUUUGUGACCAAAUUCAAGAAAAGGGGCCUCUUAUCUCCCAGUUUACUAUUUCGCCUUCUCCUUUCAUCAAUCUAGUUCUUUUGGUCGUUUCAUCUCUAAUUGUCAUUGAGCAUAUCUAGGAAUACCUCCCAUCAGUUGAUCCCUGUGAGCACAACUUCGAAACAGGUGAGGGCUUCUACGUAAAAGGUCGUGCCAACCGUCAUAUGCAAACAAGAGUUAGAGGCCAAAACUUUUUCGUUUGCAUUUCGUGCCACAAUCCUCAAAGUCGACUUAAGACACAAGCAAUCGAACAAAGCAUCAAAAUUGAUUUUAAUAGACUGACCUUUAGGUGGUUUCCAAUUCUCCUUCUUUCCCACAAAUGUAGUCUUUCUCUCUAUCAAACAAUCAAGUUCACGAACUUAGUUUUUGGUAAAAUUAGCUACUCCUAUUCCUGAGUGAGUUUUCCCUUCAUGCAGGUUCCUAUUUUUGUCUAACCAAGUCGACCAUAAUCCACAACCAAACAAGCAUUGUUGGGACUCCGUGUAACUUCUAAAUAUCCAGAUAAGCCAUUCAAAACAGUCCAUCUGUUGCCUUAGAAUUAUCCAUUCAAAGUUUAAGAUUUGCCAUAUUUCUACUAAUAUAAGACAUUCGCCAAAGACAUGCCAUAGGGUCUCAAUCCCACUUUACAUCUGGGGUAUUUGUUGCUUUGGGUUAAUUGUUUGACAUAUAAGUUGACCAUCGUGGGGAUGAAAUUCCAAGACACUCUCUAAAUCAAUAUCUUAAUUUUA